UAUAUGGCAAAGAAAUACUCAUAGUCAUUCCUGAAUCAGCUACUUCAUGGUCAUUACCUACCGAGGGGUUCCUCAACAAGAGUUAGGUGCUAUUGCCCUUAGCCAAUGCUAACUUGAGCUGAUGAAAUUAGUAAACACUAGCUUUCAGAUACACAUCGUUCAAUACCAAUUCAUAGACUGGGAGAAUCACUGUCUUUAUGACACAAGUGACAUCGAAGACAAGUUUUCCUUUCAUCUCCAAUACCAUCAAGUAAAAGAAGAACUUUGAGUUGUUAAGGAUCC
rnacentral:lncRNA from 1 species